UAGUCAGUUUUUAAUAUUUCUAACGUUGAUAUUAAAUUCAUACUUGAUCAGGCAAAGAUUUGAAGGGUACAGUUGUGAUAUGGGUAUUGCCAUUUUUUUAUAUGGAGGGUCAUUUGAAAUUGCUCUUACAGUCCAUUUAAUCAUUCAUUCACACUAAAUAUUUCUAAGAUUUUGUUAAUAGCUUGAUCUUAAUAUAUCCAGAGCUGGUUCCCAGCUCACUGUACACAUAGAAUGCUUAAUAUAUAAGAGUUUGUCAACAUUUUUACAAAAUUUCAUGCUCGCAAAAGUGAGAAAAAUAAAACUCCAGAUCACGUUGGUUAGUAAUUGUAUUCAAUGAACGCGAGCAGGCUUAGUUUGAAAUGGAGACGUUGCAAACAUUGUGUGUAUUCUGUUCUGCAAUUGAGAAAAUAAAAACCAAGGUUUUA